CUGUAGUAAUGACUGGACGUGGAAGCGCCAUCCCAAAGUAUAGAUUUUAUCUUGACUUUCCCGAGCAGUGGGACGAUGUCUUCAGCUACAUGGAUAAUGCAGUGACGCAAUGGUGUCAGCGACUCAACAACACCUUUUUGGUUGUGUUGGAUCAACUUGUAACCUUUGGGACGUCAAUUGAGGUUGGAGUCGUCAUAUCUUUCUUUUUCUUUUAUCUUGGACUGGACAGUUUGGUAAUAGCUGCUUCCUCAGUGAUGAUGGCACUUGUUGUGGUCACUCAGGUUCCUAAACGGUUUCUGUGGAGAAGACGACCGCAUGUUGCUGGGAGAGCAAAAAUGUUAUACGAUGGAACUCUGACGUCAUCGUUUCCUUCACGUGCUGUCACCUGCUGUGUCGUGUAUCUGUACCUUCUUUCGGGAAUCCUUGAGAUACUGAGCAGGCCAGAGAAAGAUCCUGUGGCUCCCUUUCGUCUUCUUUGGUCACCUGCAUUUAUACUGUUUACCAUCUGGGCCGUUGUCUGGACUAGCAUAGCACGAAUUGGAGUGGGAGUUCACUACGCGUCUGAUUGUAUUGCUGGAGUUGUACAGGCUGGGAUUGUAUGUUAUAUUGCUGAAACGACGUACUACAUCAUAGUGAAUGCCUGCUGUCAAGGAGCAGCUCCAUUUCACGCGGAUCGUGCUCUCUUACUUCAUCAUAUCAACUGGCCUGGACUGGCUAUUGCAACCAUUACAGGUGUCGUUGCCGUGUUUGUUCUCGAAUCUGAUCUUGUUCAGUAUUGGAGCAAAGCACACUUUGUUUUGGGGUUGUUGUACCCUGUUCUUUGUGGCUUGUUUCUGUUCUGCUGUGGUUAUCACCAAUUGCCACGAGCAAAUAUGUACAAUAUCGACAUUCAUCAGUUCCUAUUGGCUACUGCUGUACCUCUGCUGUUGCUGGUUGUUGGAAGAAACUGUCUGCCUCACUCUUCUGGUAAAACUGCUGCAGCUUCAUUUCUACUCUUGCAUGUGACAGGAAUGAUUGUCAUCAUGUGGCAUAGGUUGUUUCAUGACUCUAUAAUCUAGUCUGUCUGUUGUUAUAUAUGUGGUCAUUUUGUCAUAUCUUUGUUUUAUCUGUUGGGAUAAACUGACAGCUCUCUAGGAGGUAAAGAGUAACUUGCAUUGUAAUACACAGUAUAAUGGCAUAUUUGUAGAUAAACUAGUGUACCACAUUGUGGCAACCAAACUGAUGUUUUAAAAAUUCUGCUAUGCCAGUUAACUUUUAGCAUUCCACUACAUCUGGUGGCGAAGGCUAUAUAGCUACGUACAUCUACGCAGGUUUUUGUGUAAUUGCAUUUUACAGGUGUGUGUGUCAUCCUGAGGGAUGCAUCAAGUGAAUCCUCAUAAAUUAAUGAUGUUUGUUUAAACGUCAUUACGUCACGCCUAUGGAAGUGAACAAGAAGUGGAGCAGCGCUCCUCCUCUGAAGCGUCUUUUUGUGUUGCUUGUAGUUGUGCCUUCGCUGUUGGUGGCGAUAGUGGCAACGUGGCGUAUGCACAUUGAUCACAGGAAGCCCAAACAGAGUGAUGUGUCUUCACGGAUAGCUGUGCUAGCUGCUACCAGUAGUGGUGCCAAAUCACACAAUGUAAAGAUGGAACAGAAAGGGACGAUGCAACCAAUUACUGCAAAAGCUAUACAGAGGCAGCAUACUCCAGCAGCUCCCACACUUCGCAAUAUCUCUGCUCCGUGCCCAGAUAUAAAAAAGCCUCUUCUGCCACUUACAUCUGAACAACCAAAGGGUUGUGAAAACAGUGACACAUUUUAUGCAUCUCCUCUUUUCUGUCAUUCUUCUAAUAAACCGAUUGUCGUCAUUCUUAUUCUGUCAUACAUUGGAAACUUUCAAAUAAGACAUCAGGCUCGGACAGUGUGGUUACGAUCUCGUUUCAAGAUGAAUUCUGAAUUUGUUAAAAGUCAUCCUUGGGCAUAUGUGUUUGUGGUUGGUAAAGCUCAUGGAAAGGAUGCAGAAAACUUAGAAAAAAUGGCAGCAAUAGAGCAAUGCCAUUAUAAAGACAUUUUGCAAGUUGAUGUGGUAGAGAACUAUUACAAUCUUACUUGGAAGAAACUUGAGGCAUGGAAGUACUUGAUCAAAUCACAAUUGGAUUUUGAAGUGAUGUUGAAGGGAGACGAUGAUUCAUUCAUCAAUAUUCAGCUUGUUUUUGAGUGGUUAGAUGAGGUGAUUCCUAAAGUGUACAUUAGAAGCAAGAAAUCAAACUCUUCUCUCCAUGUGAUGUAUGGAGGAUUGUGUCCACUUAGAGGUUCUCCAAUAAGAUCCAAAGGUAGUAAAUGGCAUUUGUCUGUUGAACAUUAUGCACCAAAAUCUUUUCCACCAUUUUGUUUUGGUGCCGGUUACUUUGUAUCAAGGGACUUGAUAAAAGCUCUACUCAAAGUUUCAGACUUGAUGUAUUCAUUCAGAUUAGAAGAUGUUCACACUGGAUUGUUAGUGGCUAAGACUGGUCUUGUUCCAGCUGCUGAUGUGAUGGGUACUAACAGAGUCUGUAAUGCUGAUUACCAGUCUUGUACCAAGAUACUGUGUAGUCAGCCCUAUGUACUUAUGACUUCAAAUGCAGCAAGAAGGGCUGCACUGUUUAGGAACUUUAUGCAAGCUAAAUGCUAAAUGUCAAUUAGCUUGUAAAUAUAGUGGUAGCUAUACAAUAUAUGUAUAUGAGUUUUAUUGCUUUAUAGCCUGGGCCUGCAAAUGUAAUGAAGAGUAUUUAUAU